rnacentral:ncRNA from 1 species
UAAUAGUAGUUGAAAAUGAUUAUCAAUACCACAUAGAACAUCCCCCCCACGACGUUUCGUUCUUGUUGGAUUGGUCAUUUUCAAAUAUUCCCCUUUUAUAUGCCCGUAAAAGACAAUAUACGUUAUAACAACGUUUUAUAAAAGCAGUAAACCCUUACGACACUUUAGGUUUACUGCUUUU